AGUCGUAACAAGGUCUCCGUUGGUGAACCAGCGGAGGAUCAUUACCGAGUUUACACUCAUAACCCUUUGUGAACAUUAUAACUUGUUGCUUCGGCGGCUUCUGCCCUUCGGGGCGUCUGCCCGCCGGCAGUUUCAGUAUCUCUGUUUGUACCCGACGAUACAUCUGAGUGUUCUUAGCGAACUAUAAAAACUUUUAACAACGGAUCUCUUGGUUCUAGCAUCGAUGAAGAACGCAGCGAAACGCGAUAUGUAAUGUGAAUUGCAGAAUUCAGUGAAUCAUCGAAUCUUUGAACGCACAUUGCGCCUUCCAGUACUCUGGGAGGCAUGCCUGUCCGAGCGUCGUUUCAACCCUCAAGCCCUCGUGGUUUGGUGUUGGAGUCCUACAGUCUUCUGUAGUCUCCCAAAACCAGUGGCGGACCGUCGCGGCCCUUCCUUUGCGUAGUAGCAUUCGCCUCGCAUCGGGAGCCCACGGGACUUUCUAGCCUCUAAACCCCCCACAAGUCCGCUCCGGCGGCACAAGGUUGACCUCGGAUCAGGUAGGAAUACCCGCUGAACUUAA
rnacentral:rRNA from 1 species